CCUACGGGAGGCAGCAGUGGGGAAUAUUGGGCAAUGGAGGAAACUCUGACCCAGCGACGCCGCGUGAGGGAUGAAGGCCUUCGGGUUGUAAACCUCUUUCAGUAGGGAGGAAGCGAAAGUGACGGUACCUACAGAAGAAGCACCGGCUAACUAUGUGCCAGCAGCCGCGGUGAUACAUAGGGUGCAAGCGUUGUCCGGAAUUAUUGGGCGUAAAGAGCUCGUAGGUGGUUCGAUACGUCGGAUGUGAAAAUCAGGGGCUCAACCCCUGACCUGCAUCCGAUACGGUCGAGCUAGAGUUUGGUAGGGGAGACUGGAAUUCCUGGUGUAGCGGUGGAAUGCGCAGAUAUCAGGAGGAACACCGAUGGCGAAGGCAGGUCUCUGGGCCAAUACUGACACUGAGGAGCGAAAGCGUGGGGAGCGAACAGGAUUAGAUACCCUGGUAGUCCACGCCGUAAACGGUGGGCGCUAGUUGUGCGAACCUUCCACGGUUUGUGCGACGCAGCUAACGGCAUUAAGCGCCCCGCCUGGGGAGUACGAUCGCAAGNUUAAAACUCAAAUGAAUUGACGG
rnacentral:rRNA from 1 species